UACGUAGGGUGCGAGCGUUGUCCGGAAUUAUUGGGCGUAAAGAGCUCGUAGGCGGCUUGUCGCGUCGGAUGUGAAAGCCCGGGGCUUAACUCCGGGUCUGCAUUCGAUACGGGCUGGCUAGAGUGUGGUAGGGGAGAUCGGAAUUCCUGGUGUAGCGGUGAAAUGCGCAGAUAUCAGGAGGAACACCGGUGGCGAAGGCGGAUCUCUGGGCCAGCACUGACACUGAGGCACGAAAGCGUGGGGAGCAAACAGG
rnacentral:rRNA from 1 species